rnacentral:rRNA from 1 species
CAGUCGCCGCGGGAAUACGUAGGGUGCGAGCGUUGUCCGGAUUUAUUGGGCGUAAAGAGCUUGUAGGCGGUUUGUCGCGUCGGGAGUGAAGACUCGGGGCUUAACUCCGAGCUUGCUUUCGAUACGGGCUGACUUGAGGGAGGUAGGGGAGAAUGGAAUUCCUGGUGGAGCGGUGGAAUGCGCAGAUAUCAGGAGGAACACCGGUGGCGAAGGCGGUUCUCUGGACCUUUCCUGACGCUGAGAAGCGAAAGCGUGGGGAGCGAACAGGCUUAGAUACCCGGGUAGUCCCUGUCUCUUAUAA